UACGGAGGGUGCAAACGUUGCUCGGAAUCAUUGGGCGUAAAGCGCACGUAGGCGGCCUGUUAAGUCGGGUGUGAAAUCCCUGGGCUCAACCCAGGAAGUGCACUCGAAACUGGCAGGCUUGAGUACUGAAGAGGGUCGCGGAAUUCCCGGUGUAGAGGUGAAAUUCGUAGAUAUCGGGAGGAACACCAGUGGCGAAGGCGGCGACCUGGGCAGAUACUGACGCUGAGGUGCGAAAGCGUGGGGGAGCGAU
rnacentral:rRNA from 1 species